AUUUGGAAGGAGUUUGAUUGAAUUUCCCGGCCGCCACUUCCCCCUUCGUACGGGAGGUGCAGUGAGGAAUAUUGCGCAAUGGACGAAAGUCUGACGCAGCCAUGCCGCGUGCAGGAUGACGGCCCUACGGGUUGUAAACUGCUUUUUUACAGGAAGAACUCCCCCUACGUGUAGGGGGCUGACGGUACUGUAUGAAUAAACAUCGGCUAACUCCGUGCCAGCACCCGCGGUAAUACGGAGGAUGCAAGCGUUAUCCGGAUUUAUUGGGUUUAAAGGGUGCGUAGGCGGAAUAAUACCCCAGUGGUGAAAUCCUGCACCUUAACUGUAAAACUGCCCUUGAUACUGUUAUUCUGGACUGCGAUUGAGGUAUGCAGAAUGCGUUAUGUCGCGUUGAAAUGCUUAUAUAUUACACAAACCACUGAUUGCCUAGGCUCCUUACUCAGUCACAACUGACUUAAAGGCACGAUUGCGUGGG
rnacentral:rRNA from 1 species